rnacentral:rRNA from 1 species
GACGAACGCUGGCGGCGUGCUUAACACAUGCAAGUCGAGCGGAGCGGCGAACGGGUGAGUAACGCGUGAGUAACUGCCCCCCUCUCUGGGAUAACAGUUGGAAACGGCUGCUAAUACCGGAUAGUGGGGGAUGACUCGCGUCCUAUCAGCUUGUUGGUGGGGUAGUGGCCUACCAAGGCGACGACGGGUACCCGGCCUGAGCGGGCGACCGGCCAAAUUGGGCUGAGAUACGGCACAAACUGCUACGGGAGGCAGCAGGGGGGAAUAUUGCACAAUGGGGGAAACCCUGAUGGAGCAACGCGCGUGCGGGAUGACGGCCGUCGGGUUGUAAACCGCUUUCAGCCAUGACGCGGUAGUGGCAGAAGAAGCACCGGCUAACUACGUGCCAGCAGCCGCGGUAAUUC